UGAGCAACAUCCAUGUGUGGACUCGGGAAGC
rnacentral:piRNA from 1 species